GGGCCCGUGGUCUAGACGGUUAUGACGCUGCCCUUACAAGGCAGAGGUCCUGAGUUCAAAUCUCAGCGGGCCCA
rnacentral:tRNA from 1 species